UUUCAUUGAUAUCUUAUAAUCUUCUAUAUCGUAGUAUACUUUUAAGAAAUAAUCGAAUAAUGUUUAUUUGGAAAAUUAUAUAGAAAUAAGAAAAAAACUAUAUAUAUCAAAAGAAUUGUAGGAGACUUAAAAAUAUCGAUGUUAAAAAAAAGGGAAACUAAGAAAAUGAGAAAAUGGUGGGGGUAUCAAAAAAUUUGGUCAAAGCAAUAACAUUUAAAAUAGAAAAGAAAAUUAAAAACAUAAAUUUAAAAUAAUCUCAAACUUUACACAAUAUCUUGGGUACACCCGGGUAUACCGUAUAGUCGGGUUGACCCGUAACCAAAAUAGUGUUAUUUAUAUGGUUUGGGUUAGGAUAUGGAUUCAAAUCAGAGUACGAGUCAAAGUGCAACUCAGUUAUACGGUACACUCCGGUGUACCCAAGAUCACCUCUAAACUUUAAUCGAUCAUAUUUUUCAUAUUUUAAACUAGUUUUUUUUACAAAUUAUACAUCAAUAAAUUUUUUUAUCACAAUCUUUAAUAUAAUGCAUAUUACAAAUUUUAUUUAAAAUUAAAUAACCCAAUUUCUGGAAAUAAAGAGCAAAAAAAAAAAAUAGCCGGAAAAAUGAAAUUAAAAGAAAUCUUUUUCUUUGGCAUGGGCAAAGCAACAAAUUAUGGUUGGUUUCGUUCUAGAACUUGGAGUGACUGUUCAAGCAUUUUUUUAAUAAGACUGUUGAAUUAAAAUUGAUUGCAUAUCUGUAAAAGAUUAUAGUGAUUUUUAAGGAUGCAAAUCCAUGAUUUAUUUCCUAAUUCAAUAGUGUAUAGAAGGCAAAAAUCAAAAAACUUGUCACAUUUAAUAAAAUAUAACCGAUAAUAUAUGAAAGGGGCAAAUCAGCCAUGAUCGUAAAUCUAUUUAUUAUUAAAUAGAAUACAUUUUUGAGAGCCCACAUUCAUUCUCUAUCCUAGGUGGCGCUCUCAAUAAUCUCCAUUCUCUUUUUUCUAAUUUCUACAUUUUACUCAUUUUCAAUAAUAAUUAAAUAUACAUAUAUUAUUUGAUUCAUCAUUAAUUUCCCAUCAUUGACAUCAAUUAGUUAUCAUCUUGCAUUUGGAAAGAUAAAAUUUAUGCUCAUUAAUUAAAACCUUCCUUAUAUAAUGGCAUCAAUUACUUUUCAUAUUUUAUACGAUAUUAGUUAUAUUCUAAUUUAAAAUGCAUCGUGUUCAAGGAUUUAUGCUUUAAUAUAUUAUUGCUUUUUUAUACAGAUCUAUAAUAUUAUUUAUUUAUACUCUAAUAACAUAAGUCAUUUAUAUUUUUCAUAUUUUAUACUAUAAUAUUGGCUCUAUAUAAGCUUCAACCAAAGCAAAUCAAAUGCAUCAUGUUCAAAGUUUCACAAUAAAAUAUGAUAGUAAGGCCAAAUUGUCGUUUUUCAAAACAUUCAUUAGUGUUCUUUUAGUUUUUUUAAUUCACCUUUUGGAAAUGAUAUUUCUUUAAUUGAUAUUAUUCUAAUUAUUCAUUAAUAUUUAUCAAUCAGCUAAUUAAUUGGCAUGUUACGAAACAUAAUUUGUGGCAAUAUUAAUUACAUUAAUAAAUUUUCCUUUUUUAUACUACUUUUCACCUAUAAAUUAUACUAGAAUUUUGCAACCAAUUUCAUCCACAAUAUUAGUUCUUUAUGCAUCUUCAUUCUCUUUUCCUAUUCAGCAGCUGCGAAUGCUAUGAUAUAUAUUGUAUUGUGUGUUAGCAAAUUAAGAUGAUUCUGAAAGUCUCAAGAGAAAAAAGAAUUUUCUCAUAAAUAAGAGAUCUCAAGGAUUCUUGUUGAAGCAGAAGCUCUAGAUCUUAGUCUUAGCAAGGAAACCAUCACAAAUUGCUUACAUUGUAAAAAAAAGUAUAAAACUCCAUCUAAAGAGAAUAAUGUCUCCAAAUGUUGGUUUGAUGUAUCAUUUUCAAAUAGAUUUGAGAGAUAUAGAUUAAUGGCAUGUUGUACAAUAUAUAAAUCUAGAUUUGUGAUUAAUAUGUAUAUCUUGAUUGUUGAUUAAUAUUAAUCAACCAAUAAUAAGAAGUUCCAAAAUAUAGUUUGUGGCAAAAAAUAUUGAUUAUAACAAUAAAUUUUCUAAUUCUAUAUUAUUUUUCUACCUUUAAUUUCUAGAAUUCUUCAAUCAAUUUCACUAACAUUUCAUAUUGUCUAUGCUCACUCAUUCAGACAUUUGCAAUUAAAAGAGUAUUUUCAAUAUUAUAUUUGUUGUAUUUUCUUCAUUCAGAGUUUCAGACUUUUCAACCAACCAAUGAAGUAUAUAUUUUCCUUCAUUCCGAUUUUUCAAUUAUAUGUAUUUUCACUCUAAUGGAUUUACAUUUAUUGUUGAAGAAAUAUAUCAUGAAUGCUUUUUCUUAACCUUGUGCUUUCAUGUAUGUAUAGUCAGAUUUUGUUGGUAGUAGUAAUAAGAAGUUGUGUUACUUGUGCAUGUCAGUAUAUAUACUCGAUGAUGUACUAUAGUAAUUGAUAUUCAUUGAAAAAAUUGAAAUACUAAUUAGAAUAUAAUAGACUAAGUAAUUAUUGGGAAACUAAUUAAAAUAGUAGACUAAGUAACUACUUAGAAUUAUAAUAAGAAACUGAAAUUAAUAUUAAAAGGAUAAGGAAACAAAUUACUAUUAGAAAACUAAUUAAAACAUAGUAAUAGAUUAAGUAACUAAUUUGAAAAAUAAACUAAUCUAUAUAUUAAAUUUAUUAAUUAUAUAUAAAAAUUAAAUAUAUUGAAUGCACUACAUUCAUCCUCAAUUUUAGGUGGCAUCUUCUCCAUUGUCCAUUCUUAGCUAUUAUAAAACCUCUAUCCCACAUGAAAAACAUAUUAAACUUUAACAAUUCAUAAACCUAAAUAAAAUGACAUUCAUCAUUCCUAUAUUAGGCAUUUGUUAUUCAUAUAUUGAUCUUCUAUUAAACUUUAUCAUGGAUAAAUUUGCUAUUCGUGUGGGUUUCACCACAUGGCGAAUCCCCCCCAAUUUUUUAUUAUUAUUUUUUUAAAUCGGAUUUGCGAAUCGGGUGCGCCCAACUCACGAAUCUGGUGCAUUUAGGGUGCAUUGAGGGUUAUUUUGAAUAAUUUCAUUAUUUUUAGGCUCUUUUACAAUUUUUUCAAUUUAUUGCCCUACAAUUAUUUGUGUCUCUUCGAUCCCUCAACAAAGAAGAAUUCAAUUUUAAGAAAUUAUAAUCCUACUAGAUUUUAUUUUCUAAGUUCUAUCAUAAUUAGUAGUAAACUAAUAAAUUAAAUAAUUAUAAGAAUACAAGUGGCAGAUUGAAAUGCUUUAUCUUGCAAUUUCAGCUAUUAUAUGUAUUUUAUUUCUUAAUAUUUGACUUAUAUUUGCAAUGCAACAUUUAAUUUAUGAAUGUUCUUUUCUUUUUUUCAAUUUGAUUGGUCAUAUAUAAUAAAAUAUAUAAAUAUAACAGACGUAUCCUUCACGAAUCGCAUCGAUCCUAUAUGUUUUGAAAAUCUGUAUCCCCACACCCGAAUCGUAUCGCUCCCGCACGCGCCCCCUCGCACCUGUACAACAUAGAGUAUCAUGUUAGUUGAUAUUUCUAUUUGAAUUUUUUUAUUAUUUUAAUUCUUUGUUAUUUAUACAUUAAUAAUUAAUGUAUAUUUUGUAUUGUUCGAAUUUUGGUUGAGAUGUAUAAUCAACUAAUCUAACAAAGUAUAUUUGAUUAUUUAGCUAUUUUAUAAAAUGAAAAUGUAUAGUAACAACUAAUUUUUUAUUAAUUCUCUAAUUAUUACGGGUAUGAAUUUGUAAAUUCUCAAUGAGUUUCAUCGCAAAUAUAUACUUUGAAUUUGAUUAUUUAUAUUUUCUUAUUCAUAUUAUUAAUAUACCAUAGUUGUUACAAGUUAUUUGAUUGUGUAGAUUUUUAUAAAAUUUAAACUGGUUCGACAAAUUGGCAUAUAUUACUAUAUGAGUCAAGAAUGGAUAGUAAAAUCACUUACUAAUAGAGGUUUGAACUAAUAAAAUUACAUAUAUAAAUGAAAUAUCUAAACUGAUUAGAGUUCUAUUUGUUAGAGAGUUGACAAUUGAAGUUAUGGUUGAAUAUAUAUAAUUUCAUAUUUGAUGAUGUGAUGCUCAAAACUCUAGACGAGAUGAUGCUCUUUCAAGUUUCAGAUAAGAUGAUGCUCAUAAGUUAGAGGUGAUCUGUCAAGUUUGAGACGAGAUGAUGCCCACAACUUGAUUGCUUUUAAAACUCCAAAUGAUUUAUUUGAUGUUCGAUAACUCAGUUAUGAACUUUUAAACAUCAAGGCAGAGUCAUUGUUGAGCUACUGAGCAUUAGAGCGACCGAAGCCAUUGAUGGUCUGUUUGCAGCAUUUUCUUGAACACACAACAGUCCCAUGUGCAUACAUCUCAACAUGUCACGUACAAAACCCGCACCAUUCGUCAGCACGGGAUCUAUCAUAUUUGCAGCUGUCCCUUCUCGCCAGUUCUUCCAUGUCUGUGAAUGUGUGGCCAUUAGUUGCAAUACAACCAUUCUACUAAUUAACAUUGAUAGAUAUGAUGGUACUUACAAGAGUCAAGAGGUCCUCUGUACUGUCCCCAUUUUGGAUACAAUAGAGGCUGGGUCGGGGGGUAAUAGAGGCUUGGGUGUGGGGUGGUGGAGCGGCUCCUGGAGUUAAGUCGGGGGAGAAGGACAAAUGGCUUAGAGAGAACCUUGCUUUGAGAAUUGGGGAGGGUAAUCAACUGAGUUUUUGGAAUCAUUGUUGGGCGGGGGGUAGAACUUUGGCGGAAGAGUUUCCACGACUCUUUCACCUUAGCGCUCACUGGGAAGGUAGCGCUCACCGGGCAGGGGGUAGAACUUUGGAAUCAUUCUGGUACCAUGUGCAAUGAAAAAAAAUUCCUUGCCUAAGACAAAAAAAAAAAACUCCCUCCGUUCACGAAAGAACUUUCUAUCUUUUCUUUUUGGGACGCCUCCAAAAAUACUUCCUACCUAUUUUUUUACUAUGCUCCACCACUUAUAAUUACUCUUACUUUUCACUUUUCACAACUCUCAAUAUUAAUUAGUAUAACAUUUUUNGACAAUUAAUACAAAUUUUACUGUUAAAUAUUUUAUUUUAAAACUAAAUAUUUAUAUAUAAAAUGAACCAAUAUAAAACACAAAACUUAUGUUGGGUCCCGGUGGGUUAACUGAACAGGUGUAUGGAGGAUACACAUGUAGGCUAUUUUCAUGGAAAAUAAACAAACCAAACUUCAGUUGAAAGAUGGUUGUAGACUGAUACUGAAAUAUACUCUCUCCGUCCACGAAAGAACUUCCUAUCUUUCCUUUUUGGGACGUCCACAAAAGAACUUCCUACCUAUUUUUGGACUAUACCCCACCACUUAUAAUCCUCUUACUUUCACUUUUCACAACUCUCAAUAUUAAUUAUAACACAUUUUUCACCACUCUCAAUACACUCAAUUACCUUUUAUCCACUCUCAAUACACUUAACAAUAUUUUUUCUUAAAACCCGUGCCACUCCCUCCUAGAAAGUUCUUUCAUGGACGGAGGGAGUAUAUUAUAUCAAUUUUAAUUUUUUAUUUUUUAUUUUGAUUUCAUUAAUAUCUUAUAAUUUUAUGUAUUAUAAUAUAUUUUUAUGAAAUAAUUGAACGACACGGUCAACACGAGGCACAAUUUUCAUGGCUAUAAUUUGUUAGUAUCAAUUUCAUUGAUAUCUUAUAAUCUUCUCUAUCGUAGUAUACUUUUAAGAAAUAUAAUCGAAUAAUGUUUAUUUGGAAAAUUAUAUAUAAAAAAAAAACUAUAUAUAUCAAAAGAAUUGUAGGAGACUUAAAAAUAUCGAUGUAAAAGGGGGGGGGGGGGGAACUAAGAAAAGGAGAAAAUGGUGGGGGUAUCAAAAAAUUUGGUCAAAGCAAUAACAUUUGAAAUAGAAGAGAAAAUUAAAAAUAAUUAAAAACAUAUAUUUAAAAUAAUCUCAAACUUUACACAAUAUCUUGGGUACACUUGGAUGUACCGUAUAAUCGGGUUGACCCGUACCCAGAAUAGUGUUAUUUAGUAUAUGGUUUGGGUCAGGAUAUGGGUUCAAAUCAAAGUACGAGUCAAAGUGCAACCCAGUUGUACGGUACACUCCGGUGUACCCAAAAUUACCUCUAAACUUUAAUCGAUCAUAUUUUUCAUAUUUUUAACUAGGAGUAUUUUUUUUUACAAAUUAUACAUCAAUAAAUUUUUUUAUCACAAUCUUUAAUAUAAUGCAUAUUACAAAUUUUAUUUUAAAUUAAAUAACCCAAUUUCUGGAAAUAAAGAGCAAAAAUAAGAGAAAAGAAAGAAAUAGCCGGAAAAAUGAAAUUAAAAGAAAACUUUUUCUUUGGCAUGGGCAAAGCAACAAAUUAUGGUUGGUUUCGUUCUAGAACUUGGAGUGACUGUUCAAGCAUUUUAAUAAGACUGUUGAAUUAAAAUUGAUUGCAUAUCUGUAAAAGAUUAUAGUGAUUUUUAAGGAUGCAAAUCCAUGAUUUAUUUCCUAAUUCAAUAGUGUAUAGAAGGCAAAAA
rnacentral:lncRNA from 1 species